GACGCGAAUGUCCUCCGGAAUCGUCUCCGUGACGCGUUUGAAAUUUAUCAGUUUAUGGCGCCAUUUUUUUGCGUACUUAUAUUUUAAAACGAAAGUCCAAAGUGAUUAACAUCACUAUUUAAAUUUUUCAAGGAAAGAGAUUCUCAUGUUCUCAACCUUGUACAAAUAUUUUCAAGGUCAAUACUGGGAAUACUUGGAAGGAUGAUCGAGUCGAUUCAAGCUCCAACGAUUUCACAACAAGAAGUCUUUUUCUCAUUCUCAUGGAUUCAUUCUAUAGUCUGGGUCAAGAUCAUGUUUUCUUCCACUAUUCAUUUUACAAUUAUUAUAUCAGUUUUUAAUCAUGUAACGUUUCUUAUAAAUUAUAAUUUAUAAUACCUACAAGUAUACUUAAAAA